rnacentral:tRNA from 1 species
GGCUAGUUGGCAGAGUGGUUAUGCAGCGGCCUGCAAAGCCGUGUACGCCGGUUCGACUCCGGCACUAGCCUCCA